ACCACAGCACCACUGACUAUCUCACCCCCGGUACCACACACACCUGAGGCGCGCUACACACUGCAACCGCCAAGUGCCUGCAACCCGUACCGGACCCACUUUGCGUAGGCAACACGGCAGCCAGGCCAAGCCCUAGGCGGACAGCGGCGCACCCCAUUGCAGCACACCUGUAACGUGCGUGCCGGGUACCAUAUUUGAAUGAGGUGGACAACUCCGGUGCCCUGCACAGUCACUUUCACCACUGCAAUCCGCCGACUAAUGGAGAAGUUGUCACAGCACCCAGUCGACCCCAUUAAUCGUUGAGGGGGAUGGAGAGUGCACGAUAACACGCGGCAGUACCGAGGCACCACUGCGCCGUUCACCGACUCCACCUGCGAUCGUGUCCACCCAGCACACACACACACCCCGUUGAAAGGAUGGGCAGACCAGAAGGACACGACUUGAUCACAGCAGACUGGCAGUUCCACCGGUC
rnacentral:rRNA from 1 species